UGUAGAUUGAAGAACAAUGGCACCAAGAGCGAAAUUGAACUUGUUGACAGGAGGAAACCAAGCAAAACAAAGACGUUUGCAAGGGUGAGUUUUGUAGGACCGGUGUUUAGCUUUGUUUCAUGUCCAAAGGACACUUGAGAAUAAAUGUUUACUCAUGGAUAAUAUCUAUCUAUUUGCAUGAGCAACCCUGGGUUCAUUUGUUCUGUUACUGCUGGUCAUUGCGGCAUAUCACGCCUACAGCACUGACAAAGUAAAAAGAAAAUCGAAUGAAAUUUGGUAAGAUUUUAGCGGACUACAAAGAUCUUAAGCCAAUCAUAUAUUCCCAUGCAGAUAUUAAGAGGUUUACAAAUCAAUUCAAGUACAAGUUGGGCCAAGGAGCAUACAUAACUGUUUUUAAAGGAAAGCUUUUUUCUGAAUGCUUUGUUGCCAUGAAAGUACUUAACAUUUCCAAGGGUGACGGGGAAGAGCUUGUAAAUGAAGUGGGGAACAAUGGGCCAUAUUCACCAUGUCAAUGUGGUUCACUUGGUUGGUUUUUGUGCUGAUGGAUUUAGAUGAGCUCUGGUUUAUGAGUUCUUUCCCUUUGGUUCACUUCAGGAUUAUAUGUCAUCAGUAGAUAGAUUUCUUUCCUUGGUUGGCAUAAGUUGCAAGAUAUUGCUAUCAACAUAGCCAAAGGAACCAGGGAUGUGAUCUACAAAUCCUCCAUUUCGAUAUCAAACCCCAUAAUGCUUUGCUCGACCAAAAAAUCACGCCAAAAAUCUCUGAUUUUGGUCUGGCCAAGUUAUGUUCCAAGGAUCAAUCAGUGUGACUAAAGCAAGGGGGACCAUGUGACUAAAGCACCUGAAGUGUUUUCCAGGAAUUUCGGAAAUGUGUCUUACAAGGUAGAUGUCUUGAAUGUUGCUGCUUGAAAUGGUAGGAGAAAAGAAGAAUAUUGGUUCAACCAGAGGACACGACAAAUGAAAUCUACUAUCCAAAAUGGAUUUAUAAUCUUCUAGAGGAAGGAAUGACCAACAGAUCCAUAUUGAGGAAGAAUGUUAUGGUAAGAUUCCAAAGCAACUUGCAAGUUUAGGGCUCUGGUGCAGCCAGUGGCACUUGGUGGAUCGGCGGUCCAUGAAAACGGUGGUUCGGAUGUUAGGAGGAUGAGAAAACUUGAUGAUGCAAGCAACCCUAAAAGCCUCAUACAAUUAAAAGUAAUUGCUGAAUUAGAGUAACAUAUGUAUAUGUAUACGCACCAACACAAGUCGUUCUUAGAUGAAUCCAAGCCAAACAAUUACAAACAACAGUUAUUCACUAAAUCACUUUAAGGCAAGAAUUUAAUUAAUAAUACAUUACUGCACUUUCUUAA